CUGGGAAGGCUCCCUGGAGGAAGUGAUCUCUUAGUUGAGAAUUGACAGCUGUAUUGACAUUAGGCUGUUGCAAGGACCAGAGCUUCGGGCAUGAUAGCACAUUGGAGUAACUGCUCAAGGAAAUAUAUAAGGAAGUGACUUAACACAAUUGGCAUGCAGUAGAUGGCUUGGCUCAGUUUUUUAAGUGGGAAUUCAGAAGAGGAAGAGGAAUGGAUCUUCCGAUUUUAGAUGCAAAUGGGAUAAAGCUAAUAUCUGCUUGACUGGUGGCUUAUGUGUAGAGUUGGAAGAAAUGCUGGCUGAUGUAUGUUACAAUCACGGAGGCAGCCGUGGUGAAACGCAGUUGGGGAGCGAAGAAGAUUAUGUCUUAGGUUGAACAGAAACAACCCAGUGAGGAACUACUCAAGUGAAUAUAGGAUUUCCUUAAAAAUAGAAAUCCGAUCAAGAUGGAACAAAAGAUGCUGCACUUCUGACAGAGUAAAGAUACAUGUUUUACAUUCCCAGCUCUCCAGGAUUAUUUAUUUUAGGAUAACAUGCUUUUUAUGGAAGCCUUGAAGCUAAAUACAAAACAAACUACACUUCCCAUGCAUCUCUGUUCCAGAUAGCUUCUCCAAUCCCUCUUGGCAGCAAAAACACUGAUUUUCCUAAGGGUUUGGCUCAAUAAAGGAGUAAGGUAAAACUGGCAAAGACAAGUGAGAUAUUCAAAUCUUGUGCCACUGUGAAGGAUUAUGGAGAGAAAAAUCUCAUGUUUAGGUUUCCCAAGUUGUAAAGAGAUGAGUGUAAACAGGAAAAGAGUCAGCCCUUCCAACAGACACUGAAGUAGGCAUAUGAUAUGUGCUCUUGACAGACUCUAUUUGGCUUCUCUUUAAAAACUAGGUUAAAUUGGAGAAACUAAUUAAAACACAUAGAAACCUUUUAUUUGCUUCACAUUUUUGAAUUCACAUUUUGAAUUCAUCA